rnacentral:rRNA from 1 species
GGCUACGAGGACGAACGCUGGCGGCGUGCUUAACACAUGCAAGUCGAACGAGGUUAUCGGAGAGCUUGCUCGAAGAUAACCGAGUGGCGGACGGGUGAGUAACGCGUGAGCAACCUGUCUCACACAGGGGGAUAACGCAUCGAAAGAUGUGCUAAUACCGCAUAGGACCACAGGAGGACAUCCUUCAGGGGUGAAAGGAGCAAUCCGGUGUGAGGUGGGCUCGCGUCUGAUUAGAUAGUUGGUGAGGUAACGGCCCACCAAGUCAACGAUCAGUAGCCGACCUGAGAGGGUGAUCGGCCACAUUGGGACUGAGACACGGCCCAGACUCCUACGGGAGGCAGCAGUGGGGAAUAUUGGGCAAUGGGCGCAAGCCUGACCCAGCAACGCCGCGUGAAGGAAGAAGGUUUUCGGAUCGUAAACUUCUGUCCUAUGUGAAGAUAAUGACGGUAGCAUAGGAGGAAGCCCCGGCUAACUACGUGCCAGCCGCCGC